UACGUAGGUGGCAAGUGUUCUUCGGAAUGACUGGGCGUAAAGGGCACGUAGGCGGUGAAUCGGGUUGAAAGUGAAAGUCGCCAAAAAGUGGCGGAAUGCUCUCGAAACCAAUUCACUUGAGUGAGACAGAGGAGAGUGGAAUUUCGUGUGUAGGGGUGAAAUCCGUAAAUAUACGAAGGAACGCCAAAAGCGAAGGCAGCUCUCUGGGUCCCUACCGACGCUGGGGUGCGAAAGCAUGGGGGAGCGAACAGG
rnacentral:rRNA from 1 species